rnacentral:rRNA from 1 species
AGAGGUCCCAAGCGUUGUUCGGAUUCAUUGGGCGUAAAGGGUGUGUAGGUGGCGCCGUAAGUCGGGUGUGAAAUUUCGGAGCUUAACUCCGAAACUGCAUUCGAUACUGCGGUGCUUGAGGACUGGAGAGGAGACUGGAAUUCAUGGUGUAGCAGUGAAAUGCGUAGAGAUCAUGAGGAAGACCAGUGGCGAAGGCGGGUCUCUGGACAGUUCCUGACACUGAGACACGAAGGCCAGGGGAGCAAACGGGAUUAGAUACCCCGGUAGUCCUGGCAGUAAACGGUGCACGUUUGGUGUGGGAGGAUUCGACCCCUUCUGCGCCGGAGCUAACGCGUUAAACGUGCCGCCUGGGGAGUACGGUCGCAAGRUUA